AUGGGAAAUAAGCAAGACGAACUCCAACUCCUAGCACAGCACCACACAUACGAUGUCAUAGGCAUCACUGAAACCUGGUGGGAUGACUCCCAUCACUGGAAUUUAACCAUUGAGGGCUAUAACCUCUUUCACAGAAAUAGAACAAAGGGGAGAGGAGGGGGAGUAGCUUUAUAUGUCAAAAACAGUUACGUUGCAGAAGAAAUGCAAGACUGUAAUCCGGGAAACCAGCUUGAAAGCAUCUGGAUAAGAAUCAAGGGAACCAGGACUCAAAAAGAUCUUGUCGUGGGUGUCUACUACAGACCUCCGAGUCAGGAUGAAGGACUUGAUGAAGCCUUCUGUCAACAGCUGGCGCAAAUGCAAACAGUGCCAACAAAGAAGAAAAAUAAGACAAGUGCAAAGAAGCCAGAAUGGAUGUCCAAAGAACUUCUAACUGAGCUAAAGCUCAAAAGUGACAUGCACAAGAAGUGGAAAAGGGGAGAAAUCACCAAAGAAGAAUUCAAACGUAUAGCCAACACCUGUAGGGAAAAGGUUCGCAAGGCUAAAGCGCAAAAUGAGCUCAGGCUUGCCAGGGACAUAAAAAACAACAAAAAAGGCUUUUUUGCUUACGUUGGUAGAAAAAGGAAGAAAAAGGAGGCGAUAGGGCCAUUGCAAGGAGAAGAUGAGGUGAUGGCGACAGGGGACAGGGAAAAGGCAGAACUACUUAAUGCCUUCUUUGCCUCGGUCUUCUCAGAAAAAGAAAGCCAUCUUCAACCUCAGCAACACGGAAUGGACGAAGGAUUGGGGGAAAUCCAACCCCAAAUAGGGAAACAAGUUGUCCAGGAACACUUGGCCUCUCUAAACAAAUUCAAGUCCCCAGGGCCAGAUCAGCUACACCCAAGAGUACUGAAGGAACUAGCGGAAGUUAUUUCAGAACCACUGGCAAUUAUCUUCGAGAGUUCUUGGAGAACGGGAGAAGUCCCAGCAGAUUGGAGGAGGGCGAAUGUGGUCCCUAUCUUCAAGAAGGGAAAAAAGAACCACCCAAACAAUUACCGUCCGGUCAGCCUCACAUCAAUACCAGGCAAAAUUCUGAAAAAGAUCAUUAAGGAAGUGGUCUGCGAACACUUAGAAACAAAUGCGGUCAUUGCUAACAGUCAACACGGAUUUACCAAAAACAAGUCAUGCCAGACUAAUCUGAUCUCUUUUUUCGAUAGAGUUACGAGUUGGGUCGAUACAGGGAAUGCUGUGGAUGUAGCGUACCUGGAUUUCAGUAAGGCCUUCGACAAAGUCCCCCACGACCUUCUGGCAAACAAACUAGUAAAAUGUGGGCUAGACAAAACUACGGUUAGGUGGAUCUGUAAUUGGCUAAGCGAAUGA
rnacentral:lncRNA from 1 species